AACGCGAAGAACCUUACCAGCUCUUGACAUGCCCGGUCUGGGUGGGAGAGAUCCCAUUCGUCGGUUCGGCCGGCCGGGACACAGGUGCUGCAUGGCUGUCGUCAGCUCGUGUCGUGAGAUGUUGGGUUAAGUCCCGCAACGAGCGCAACCCUCAUCUGCAGUUGCCAUCGGGUGAAGCCGGGCACUCUGCAGAGACUGCCGGUGAUAAACCGGAGGAAGGUGGGGAUGACGUCAAGUCAGCAUGGCCUUUAUGUCUGGGGCUACACACGUGCUACAAUGGCCGGUACAAACCGUCGCGAGCCCGCAAGGGGGAGCUAAUCGGAGAAAGCCGGUCUCAGUUCGGAUAGCAGGCUGCAACUCGCCUGCUUGAAGUUGGAAUCGCUAGUAAUCGCGGAUCAGCACGCCGCGGUGAAUACGUUCCCGGGCCUUGUACACACCGACGCAC
rnacentral:rRNA from 1 species